UAAAAAUCAGAGUGUAAUGUCGCUCUGGAUAAGAGCGUCUGCUAAAUGACGUAAA
rfam:Salmo salar isolate Sally breed double haploid chromosome ssa15, whole genome shotgun sequence.